rnacentral:rRNA from 1 species
CCUACGGGUGGCAGCAGUGAGGAAUAUUGGUCAAUGGGCGCGAGCCUGAACCAGCCAAGUAGCGUGAAGGAUGACUGCCCUACGGGUUGUAAACCUCUUUUAUAAAGGAAUAAAGUGAGGCACGUGUGCCUUUUUGUAUGUACUUUAUGAAUAAGGAUCGGCUAACUCCGGUCCAGCAGCCGCGGUAAUACGGAGGAUCCGAGCGUUAUCCGGAUUUAUUGGGGUUAAAGGGAGCGUAGAUGGGUUGUUAAGUCAGUUGGGAAAGUUUGCGGCUCCACCGUAAGAUUGCAAUUGAUACUGGCAGCCUUGAGUACGGUUGAGGUAGGCGGAAUGCGUGGUGUAGCGGUGAAAUGCUUAGAUAUCACGCAGAACUCCGAUUGCGAAGGCAGCCUACU